AACCCUAAUCAAUAGAUCUACGGCGUAAAGUGUGUUUAAGAUAACUAAGAUAAUAAAGUUAAACUCUAGCUAUGCUGUAAAAAGCCUCAGCUACUGUAAGCCCCUCUACGAAAGUGACUUUAAACAAUCUGAAUACACGACAGCUAAGACCCAAACUGGGAUUAGAUACCCCACUAUGCUUAGCCUUAAACUUAAGGAAUCAAGACAACAAGAUUCUUCGCCAGAGUACUACUAGCAAUAGCCUAAAACUCAAAGGACUUGGCGGUGCUUCAUAUCCCUCUAGAGGAGCCUGUUCUAUAAUCGAUAAACCCCGAUAAACCUCACCAACCCUUGCCAAAU
rnacentral:rRNA from 1 species